GGACAACCUGCCCUGAGGACUGGAAUAAUCCCGGGAAACUGGGAGUAAUUCCCCAUAUGCCACGGAACCUGGAAUGGUUUCUGGCAGAAAUGCUCCGGCGCCUCAAGAUGGGUCUGCGGCCUAUCAUGGUAGUAGUGGGUGUAACGUACCCACUAGCCUACGACGGGUACGGGUUGUGAGAGCAAGAGCCCGGAGAUGGAUUCUGAGACAUGAAUCCCGGCCCUACGGGGUGCAGCAGGAGCGAAAACUUUACAAUGCGGGCAACCGCGAUAAGGGGACCUCGAGUGCUGGGUUACAAACCUGGCUGUUGGGCUGCCUAAAAAGCAGUCUAUAGCAAGGGCCGGGCAAGACCGGUGCCAGCCGCCGCGGUAACACCGGCGGCUCGAGUGGUAACCGCUGUUAUUGGGUCUAAAGGGUCUGUAGCCUGCCGGCUAAUUCUCUUGGGAAAUCUGGCAUCUCAAGUGUCAGGCUGCCAGGGGAUACUGGUCAGCUUGGGACCGGGAGAGGUGAGAGGUACCUCCUGGGUAGGGGUGAAAUCUUGGAAUCCUUGAGGGACCACCAGUGGCGAAGGUCUCUCACCAGAACGGAUCCGACGGCAAGGGACAAAAGCUACGGGCACGAACCGGAUUAGAUACCCGGGUAGUCAUACCCGUUGACGAUACUCGCUCGGUGUCCGCCACGGUGCGACCGUGGUCGGUGCCUAAGGGAAGCCGUGAAGCGAGCCACCUGAGAAGUACAGUCGC
rnacentral:rRNA from 1 species